UACAGAGGGUGCAAGCGUUAAUCGGAUUUACUGGGCGUAAAGGGCGCGUAGGCGGAUGGCACAGUCAGAUGUGAAAUUCCCGGGCUUAACCUGGGGGCUGCAUUUGAUACGUGUGAUCUAGAGUGAGGAAGAGGGUCGUGGAAUUCCCAGUGUAGAGGUGAAAUUCGUAGAUAUUGGGAAGAACACCGGUGGCGAAGGCGGCGACCUGGUCCUUGACUGACGCUGAGGCGCGAAAGCGUGGGGAGCAAACAGG
rnacentral:rRNA from 1 species